AACGCGUAAUCCGAAAAGCGAUAAAGAGUAGGAA
rfam:Chryseobacterium gambrini strain DSM 18014 genome assembly, contig: Ga0111674_111